rnacentral:lncRNA from 1 species
CCAAGUUAUCGCCGCCAUCGUUGAACACGGAAGAGCGAAAGUGACGUCUGUAGGGCUAGGUACCGCUGUUGGGAGGGCACCAACGGUGAACUCCGUCUGCGCCGCUGUCUCGUCCUCGGGCACGAGCUCGUGGGACUCGCUGUCGCGUGUGGCUGUCUUCGUGAACUCGAGCCCGGUGCAGGAAUUGUGUGGGAAUUGGGAAAUUGCUCACCGGACUGGGCGGAUUGGCGCAACUCCGCGGACCGGUAGUCCUCGUCCCUGAGCUCAUCGAUCCAUGGUACGGGAACUUCCUAGCCUUCGCUCUAUCAACCUCGCAUUAACUCUCGCUCGGACGCGUAAGGAUUGGGUUGUUAGGGGCCGGCGUGGUGAUUGCCAGUCUUGGGCACCGCCAUGUUAUCGCCAGGUGCUGCGGCCGGUGCUCUAUGCGAGGAAUCCGGUGAAGAAAGGGUCGUAAUCAAGUUCGUAGUUGAUAGGGCUACGCAUAGGAUCAUUCAGAUCACGUUUUGAAGCCCUGGUGCGCGUUAAUGGUGAACUCUAGCCUGGCGCCGCCGCGGGGCAGGACGCCGAUGUCCUGGAGCCUCCGGCGUCGUGGCGGCGAGUCAUGAGCCGUGAAUUGUCUUUCGGAUGGCCCUGAUUAGAUCCUAGGAUAUCCUUUCGGGAUUGAGGGUGGACCAUCGGAUGGCGGCUGAUCGGAUGGGAUUAGAUGUUGGGUACGGAUUCGCCUGGUGCGGUUGUGACAGUAGAUCCGCGGGCAGAAAGGGCUGAUGUGAUCUGGUGGUGAUUAAAGUCGAACCGUAGAUUCCCGAUCCUGCGGCCGUGUGCGUGCGCUGAUUUCAGGAGGGCUUAGAUCUAAUCCAAACCACUCGCUUUAGACCGGAUGGCCAGAAACUGAUGAUACCCCUUCGCGGGUACGUUUUACUAAAGAGUCCCUGACCAAAGUGAAAAUCAACCCGCCGUCCAAGGGGGGUGUAGACUGAGUCUGGGAAAUCUUUUGAGUUCUUCUCUGACGUUUCCAAUAUUUGGCGAGCAGUCUAGAGAACUAAAGAAAUCUCUACUACUUAUUAAGGCUGCAAUAGUAGUCUGUCGUUCUGCCUCUGACAUGUUCUGCCAACGGCCGUUCUGCCUCUGCCUCUGAACCGUGGGACCUGUUCUAUCAUCCAGAUGCCCCCUCGUACACGCCUCCUACAUGUGGGCCCCCACAGGCAGGCCGAGCGCAAAAAGACGUACUUCAGUGUGGCACCAGAGCUGGAGUUGUUAGAAUGAGG